rnacentral:lncRNA from 1 species
UUUUUUUUUUUUUUUUGGUUUCUCAAGACAAAUUUUCUCUGUGUAGCCUUGGCUGUCCUGGAAUUCACUCUGUUGAUCAAGCUGGCCUCAAACUCAGAAAUCUUCCUGCCUCUUCUUUCUUUUCAAGAAAACAUAUUAAGAUUUUUUUCAGCAAUGUGUUGAUAUUUUCAAUAUUACUUGAACUUUUUAUAAUUCACUUUACAUCUCUUACUUCCUAUACCCUUACAUGUCCCCCUCUCCUUGGGUACCUCUCCAGCCUGGAGCAUUUAGUCACAGCAGGACUAGGGACUUCCUCUCCCACUGAGGUACAACCAGCCAGUCCAGAUAGGGGGACAGGGAUUUGUUGGCAGGGAACAGAGCCUGAGACAGCCCCUGCUCUACUUAUUAGGGAACCCACAUGAAGAACAAGCUGCACAUUUACUACAAAUAGGUAGCAGAUCUAGAUCCAGCUCCUACAUGGUCCCUAGUUGGUGGCCCAGGCUCUGUGAGCUCACAUGAUCCCAGGCGACUUGGCUUUGUGGGUCUUCAUGUCUUGUCCCUGACCCCUUCCACUAGCUCACCUCUACCACACAUUCUUUUACAAGACUCCCUGGGCUCCCACUGAUGUUUGGCUGUGGGUGUUCACAUCUGCCUUCAUCCACUGCUAGAUGAAGACUCUCAGGAGACAGUUAUGCUAGGUUCCUGCCUGCAAGCAUAGCAGAAUAUUAUUAAUCGUGUUAGAGAGUGGCUCUCUCAGAUGGGAUAAAUCUAAAGUUGGGCAGUCAUUGGUUGACACUUGCUCAGUCUCUGCUUUUUCUUCAAUCCAUACAUAUCUUGUAAGCAAGACAAAAUUUGGGUUGAAGUUUUGGUGGGUGCAUUUAUGUCCCCCUCUAUCCACUAGAAAUCCUGCAUGGCUAUAGGAGGUGAUCAUUGCAAUAUCUAUAUCCCCCAUUUUAAAGAUCUCACCUAAGUUCACCCCCAUAGACUACCAUAUUCUCUCCUAUCCCAGGCUUCCACCUAGGGAGAGGGUGCUUCCUCUGCCAGCCAAUUUCCAUUGUAGCUUCCAGCCCCUUCCUGCCCUCCUCCCAAAGUCUGACAGUCAUGCCUGUUCCAGUCCUCAUUUCCUCCCUUACCCAGUUCCCUCUCUCCAUCUAUCUUUGAAGACUAUUUAGUUUCCCCUUCUGUGUGAGAUUCAUCCAUUCUCCCUUUGGACCUCCUUAUUACUUAGAUUUUUUUGGAUCUGUAGAUUGUAACAUAGUUUUCCUGCACUAUAUGGCUAAUGUCCUCUUAUAAGUGAGUACAUACCCUACUUGUCUUUCUGACUUUGGGUUAUCUCACUCAGGAUGAUUUCUUAACAGAUUUCCUCCGACUUGACCUUGUGUCAGUUUGGCACACAACUACCCAGCAGAGUGAGAGUUGUGAUACCAUUUAGAUUAUUUUCCUGGUUAUGGCCCUAAAGCCUAACCCUAAGGUGUUAGGGUUCUGGCUGUAACAUUACACUAUUCAAAUUUAGCUACAAUGUGGAUAUGAAUAUUUUUUAAAGAUGGUACAGGGAACUGAAGUUCUCACUAUUGUGUGAUCAAAUAUUUUCAAUGUCUGCUAUCAGAACUAAGGCUUCAUUAAUACACUGAUAUUAAUUAUGGAAAAAUGUUUCCAUUUAUAUUCUUCUUCAUAAGCUUCUUGUCUUUCCGUUAAUCUUCUUCUUUUCAGUCAGAUUUCAAUAAACCUGCACUUUGCCACACUCAUGCUUUGAGAGCUGAUAAUAUCUAUGCCCAUUUGAAAAGAAAUAAUUAUAAUUAGAUUUAUUAUUUAAAUUGAAUUUAACUUCUUCACAAUGGCUAUAGUCUGACAUUUGCUUGAGCUUACUAUCAUAUAAUUACACAAUUACCACACUCUUAUUUCCAGAUAAUGGCCAUAAUUUGGUCUUUCAGGUUUGAGCAAUAAUAGAAUAAGAUAUAUAUAUAUAUAUAUAUAUAUAUAUAUAUAUAUAUAUAUAUAUCCAUCAUGGAGUGAAGAAAUCUAGUAAGAGCUAUAAUGAGCAGACAUUUGCAAUGAGAAAAAUAUUUGCUGGAUAUGACAAUAAUAUCAAAAUCUCAGCACUGCAGAGACUGCCUGCACAAGACAUGCAUUAGCUAAAGCC